rnacentral:rRNA from 1 species
ACUCCUACGGGAGGCAGCAGUGGGGAAUAUUGCACAAUGGGGGAAACCCUGAUGCAGCCAUGCCGCGUGUGUGAAGAAGGCCUUCGGUUGUAAAGCACUUUCUAGUAGGGAGGAAGGUAGUGUAGUUAACACCUGCACUUAUUUGACGUUACCUACAGAAGAAGCACCGGCUAAACUCCGUGCCAGCAGCCGCGGUAAUACGGAGGGUGCGAGCGUUAAUCGGAAUUACUGGGCGUAAAGCGCAUGCAGGCGGCCUGUUAAGUCAGAUGUGAAAGCCCGGGGCUUAACCUCGGAAUUGCAUUUGAAACUGGCAGGCUAGAGUCUUGUAGAGGGGGGUAGAAUUUCAGGUGUAGCGGUGAAAUGCGUAGAGAUCUGAAGGAAUACCAGUGGCGAAGGCGGCCCCCUGGACAAAGACUGACGCUCAGAUGCGAAAGCGUGGGGAGCAAACAGGAUUAGAUACCCUGGUAGGAUAGCG